AGGUAGGCUAGGCUACUGUGCAAAUUUGACCAGAAGUCCAUUCCUCCCACCGAUUACUGUUGCGUUAUAAAAACGUUCGUAAACGAUAAAGUUCUGGCCAUAGAUGAUAGAUACGCAACUUUGUCUUUGAGUGUCGGACGCGUCUUUAGCAUCCUGAGAAUGGCCGUGCCAGGAGGAAGAAAGGGUGGUCAUCGUUCUGACAGAGCGAAGGAAUCAUCAUCGAAAUUUGAUCAAAGUCUCACGUCUGAUCCAUUGGUUUCAACUUCAGCUCCCUUGACUUCUCACCCAAGGAAUCUCGAACCUGCCACCGCAACCGGCGGACUGAUCUCCAAUUCGGUAAACUCAAAACACGGUUGGAAUCCCAAGUGGGUUUCGAGGAAUCGGCGUUAUCGUGGAGUCAAACCCCGAUUCGUAGAGAACUCUGAGGUUGGUUCUUCGCAUCAUGAGAUUAGCUCUUUGGAUAGUGAAAUGGGUUCGUUUAGUAUCGAUGAAAGAGUUGAUCCUGGGCAGGUUGAGAAAGUGGAAAAAGAGGAGAGCGAAGGAGGUGUGAGUAGUUCAGGGUCGAAGAAUGAGGCGGAGGUUGAGUCAAGUAAAGAAGAGUCGAGGGAUGUUAUGGAUAUAUUUGAAGAGUUAAGGUUGAGUUGUGAAGAGCCGGAGUUGUCAGAAGAGCAGCUGAGGAGUAAUUGCCAAUCCCAGGAUGAUGAGAUACUUGUCCUGCAGUCCAUUUAUGGGGAAAAUGUUUUCAUUUUUGACAAUGUGAGAGGCCUUAAAUCUUUUCAGGUUCAUGUACACAUUGAAGUGCCAAAUGGAAUCACUGUUUCUACAAAGCUAAAUUCUUCUGUUGAUCUGAAGACCUCCGGCAAAAAUGUAGAUGAGUUCUUAUACACAUUCAAAGUUCAAUAUCUUCCACCAAUUGUGUUGACAUGUCUAUUACCUAAAUCAUACCCAAGCCACCUACCUCCUUAUUUUACAAUGUCUGUUCAGUGGUUAGAUUCUAUAAAGAUUGCCAAUCUUUGCUCUAAGCUUGAUUCCAUAUGGAAUGAACAACCUGGACAGGAGGUAUUAUACCAAUGGGUGGAAUGGUUAAGCUAUUCUUCUCUUUCUUAUAUUGGGUUUGACACAGAGAUUAUGCUUGGUCCUUAUGGCAUAAAACACACUAAAGAUAGGCGUGUAGUUUCACGGAGUGUUUCACCUGAUAUAGAUGUUCCUUUUAUUAGAAGUUACAAUGACCAGAGACUCCACGAGAACUUCCAGCAGAACAUUCAUGACUGUUGCAUUUGUUUUAGUGAAUAUGCGGGCACUAAGUUCAUCAAGCUGCCAUGCCACCAUUUCUUUUGCUUGAAAUGCAUGAAGACUUAUUCUGAUAUACACAUCAGUGAGGGUACUGUGAGCAAGCUACAAUGCCCUGAUGCAAAGUGUGGGUGUAUGGUCCCACCUAAUUUGUUAAAACGAUUGCUCAGUGAUGAAGAGUAUGAACGCUGGGAGUCUCUGACGUUACAGAAAACAUUGGAGUCUAUGUCUGAUAUUGCCAAUUGCCCACGUUGUGAAACACUAUGCAUAGAGGAUGAAGAACAACAUGCUCAAUGCUCAAAGUGUUUUUUCAGUUUCUGCACCCUUUGCAGGGAACGUCGCCAUGUAGGUGCUGAAUGUAUGACCCCAGAAUUGAAGCUUCGAAUCCUGCAGGAGCGUCAGAAUUCAUCUCAAUUAAGGGAAGAGCAAAAGCAUAGAGAACGCGAAAUGAUUAAUGAGCUUCUUAGCAUCAAGGAAAUACUUCGUGAUGCCAAGCAAUGCCCCAGUUGCAAGAUGGCAAUCUCCCGAACUGAAGGUUGCAACAAGAUGGUGUGUGACAACUGUGGGCAGUACUUCUGCUAUCGGUGUAACAAGGCAAUUGAUGGUUACGAUCAUUUCAGGGAUGCAACAUGUGACUUGUUCCCUCAAGAAAUGAUUCAGAACUGGGAGGAGCGCAUAAAUCCACGGCAGGUUGUGGCCCAGAUGCAAGUUCAACUCUAUGUUGGUGGUCAUGGUCAAUUUUGCCCUAAUUGUCGCCAAUUUAAUAUUAAGGUUGGCAACAAUAAUCAUCUGUUUUGCUGGGCUUGCCAAGCCAAGUAUUGUUACUUGUGCAAGAAGAUUGUAAGGCGCGGUUCUCAGCAUUAUGGACCAAAGGGGUGCAAACAACACACAACAAACAUGUGACGAUAAACAGCCGCGGACUACAGUGGAUUGAGACCAAGUAUCAGUGAGGCAGCCGACUAUUUCCAUAUGAUUUUAAGAUUCCUUGAAGUUCAUAGUCCCAUUAAAUUUAUUGCAGUGAGCUUAGAUGUCUACUCAAAUCAUUCUACAAGCUAAAAGCAGUACAGAUCCACCGGUAAUUUCUUCAAGAUUACAUAACAAAUCUUUGUUGGGACACAUGAAAAGAGCAUCCUGAGUCAAGUAUCCAAGCUUCACCAGAAAUUUCAUUUGAGACCACCAACACAUCAGCUGAAUCAUAUCCAUCAAAUGCAACACCAUCUUCACCUUUGUCUUUCCCUUUCUCACGGUUCAGCUUGUUUUUCAAGGAAUAACAUUCACUUUUGUAAUGCCCUUCUUUGUGAAGAAAUUGCAUUUCUUGCCUGACCGUGACUUGGAUCUUGAUCUGUAUCCACCAUGGUAAUUGUGUCCUCGAUACUCACCGUGGUUUUUAUAAUUCUUGAAGUUACGUUUAUCACUCCUGCCUCUUGCUAUGAGUCCUUCUCCAGUAGAUUCAUUUCUGUCAUCUGAUCUCUUUUGAAUUUCUUUGGAAUUGAGUGCAGCUUUGACCUCUACCAGGUUAGUGUGUCUUUUCUAUACAAUAUAGUAUCUACAUAGUGUUCAUAAGAUUUAGGGAGAGAACUAAGAAAAAUUAUACCUUGAUCUUCUUCUUCUAAUGUAAAUUCAAUGUUGUUCAGAUCAAGAAUGAUCCAAUUGAAGUCAUCAAGAUGCUUCCUCAAGUCUUUGGCAUCAUCCAUACAAAGAAUGUAUAAUUUCUUCUUUAGGUACAACUUGCUUGCUAGAGACUUCUUCAAAUAAAUUGCAGCCAAUUUAUUCCAUAACUCGAUAGAUAUUUCUUCAUUAGAUACUUCCCUCAAAACUUCAUCUUCGAGGCUGAGAAGAAUCGCACUAUGAGCUUUAGUCUGAACUUCCUGUUGCUUUUUCUUGUCAUCACCAAGCUCCACAAGUGUCUUACUGUCAAUGGCUUCUGCAAUGCCUUUCAUUUUGAUUCUCCAUAACCCAAAGUCAUUCUGCCCUGUGAAGUUGUCCACCUCAAACUUUGCAAAUGACAUUCUUGCAACUUUCUUGAUCUUCAAACCGAGUUCUUGAAUACCAAAGUCACUAAUCUUGGACUUCUACUAACCUGGCUAUUGAUACCACUUGUGGUGUAAAUCCUACACCCUCCAAGAACAGCAAAACAAGAAAGAGUAAUGCAGAAACAUAGAAUCAAAAUGAUAAAACUUUAAGCCAAAAGCAAUACCAAAAACUUUACUUGGUUCAGCUCAACUAAGAGCCUACAUCCAAGGUAGAACAGCCCCAAUCAAUGAAUGGUUAUGCUUUAUUUCUUCUUGAGCAUCGAGUACAAAAAAUUUACGCAAAGGGAGACUUGCUCCACAUACAAAACACUCUAAAAAACAAUGCUCUCCAAAACAGAACAAAAACUCUAAACUUUCUCUACUGAAUGUUAUGUCCCAAAUGAGAGUGAAGAAUACAAUAUAUAUAGGCAACUUAUCAUGGUUCCAAAACACCAUUUGAAUUACCAGAAAUUCGAACCUCUUGACUAAAAGAGUUGCCACAUCAGCUGUCACUUAAGAGGCUGAACCAAUCACCACAGCUAGCUUAUCCAUGACCUAGACCCAGAAAUCGGUAAUUGUAAAGGAAAGCUAGAGCAUUCAUUGAAACUCAGACUGCAAACAAGUUAUCUUCCAAAAACAGUUAAAAUUGACGUAGAAUUCUCUCCAUAGUAUUCUCUUUCCUGCCCAUAAUCUUUGUUGCUCUGGUCCAAAUUUCCUUACGGGUUUGCAUGAGCUAGUUGCUGGGUUGCCUAAGAUAGCUCACGUGGAGCCAACAUUGGGCUGUUGAGUUGCCCAAAUCUCGUCGUUGUCACCCAUGGUUGGGGCUCUUCUGAAGGCACAACCCAUAACAAUAGCACUUAAUGAUAAACUUUGAGGGGAAAUUAAAAGAAAUUUUUUCAGGAUUUUUAUUUAUUUAUUGAUUAUUUUCUCACCAUCUUCAAUGAUUGAAGCAGUCUCUAACUGAUAUUGAUUAAAAAUGCAGAGCAUUAUACCUUUGCUAUUUGCGGAAUGGUUGUUAGAGAGCAAACUCCUAUGUAAUACAAAUCGACUAAUUCAAUCUCAAACCAAAACGAAUUAAAAGUUAUACUAAAAUGUAUAUUUUUUAUUAUUUUAUUAAUAAAUCUAUAUCACAAAUAUAUAUAUUAAUUUAUAGAAUAUUAAUAUAAAAUUCAAAAAGAAAAAAAAUUGUCGUCAAUAACGGUGGGACAAUGUAGCUAUAUUCCUAAAUGAUGUUAAGUAUGCAAUCUAGGUGGGUGGCUAUUUGUUGUGAAAUUGGCAGCAUUUUGUUGUUAUGCAGUCCGGUUGCUCUAAUUAUCUUGAAAGUAUCGAGUUGACUUGACGCAUUUGACACCUCUAUAAAAUACUACUCAUAUUAAUGAUAUGCAGAAAAGGAGUUCAGCAAAGAAAAAAAUGUCCAUUAUUUAUUGACAAUAUAGGGAAUAAUGAUACCAUAUAAACACGUUAUUGCUAUUAAUUUUUUUGUGUAUCUAUUUCUUCUCUCAUCUAAAUUAAGAAUAGAAUGUUAGAGAAAUAUAUAUAUUUCAAUGGAAACAAAAUGAACUCUAGACAAAAUAAUACAAGGAACAAGGUGAUGAAUUAAACAAAAGUAAGCAAAAGGUACAAGGAAAUAAGAAGAGAGGAUAAUAUGUAGAAGGAAAAGAUACCGCUCAAAACAAAAUAAUACAUUUUAAAAAAAAUACAAGUAAAUAUAGGGACUGGAAAAAAGGAAAUAAAAAAUAACACUCUUACACUCGCACAUCCUUAAGUGUAGAGUAGUGGAGAUCACUAACAUAAAUAAAGUUCAAGACUUUUGUCUAAAAAUUUAUUUUUCAUAUUCUCUAAGCACUAAGGGAACUCAUUGGUGCACAACUUAACCACAUCCUCACAAGAGUAUUAUUUUCCAAAAAAUACAUUGGAUUUGGUAAGAAUAAGUUUACUGGACUCAAAAACAGCUUUAAUAUCGGGCUUGCCAAGCAAAUCUCCAUUUACUAAAUUUCAACUCAUUCCGGGAAUAUAAAGCACAUUCACUAAUGUGACCUUCUUGCCGAAGGUGAAAAAGACUUCAAUGGUACGUUUGUCAAGUAUCUUGGAUUUGCCUUCAUUGCCCAUUUGAAUCUCAUGGUUGCCCUUUGACUCUUCAAUUGUCUUGAACAAUGACUUGUCAUAGGUGACAUGGACGGUGACACAUGUGUUAUGCCACCAUAUUUUCACCUUGUCUUAGACCGCAUUCACCUCAUUAAGGGCAACAACUAUAUUCUCCUCUUUAGUUGCAUUCACCUUAGGUCCUUGUUGGUCUUUUCUAUGCCUACACUCUCUAGCAUAGUGACAAUUUUUCCCACGCACAAAGCAAGGACAUUUCUCGCCCUUAAACUUUUUUGGGUUGGUCUUUGGACCCAAAGAUGUCUUGUUACCCUUCUUGCCUUUCCCUUUAUUUUUAGGAUGUUUUGGUUGUGACACCGCAUUUGCUUUGGAAGUCUCUCCAUUAGACCCCUCCACAAGUUUAUCUCUACAUAUUGGUUCCUUCUCGUUUUUGGAUUUCUUACAAAGAAUAAUCCUCAUUUUUAUGAAGGAUUCUUUUCCUAUAGCUCCUUUAAGAUGAUGGUAAUUAUGUCACUAUUGCACCAGCUUGAAAGGUCUCGAGAAGUUCAAUCUUCAAAACUUUCAAUUUGUUAACAAUUAUUUGAAGCUCAUGAAUUUGAGGAAGAAUAGGUUUAUCACAAAAAAAUUUGAAAUCAAAGUAUUGAGAAAUCAAAACUUUUUGGUACCUUCUUCUUCCGCCUUGAAUUUUGUCCAAAGUGUAUCCCGAAUCUCCAUUGCCGACUUGGUCUCGGUAUAGAGGUCAUAGAGCCUAUCAGACAGGGUGUUGAUGAUAUGACCCCUACAAAGAAGAUUGUCCCCCUCUCUCUUCCUUCUUUUCUUCUAUUGCUUUUUAUCAUUUUCUUUUUAUUUUAUAUAUAUAUAUUUGCUUGUAUCUUUUGUCUUUUGAGUUGUAAUCUUCUCUACAUUUUUCUUCUACUAAUUCUAUUAUUAUUUGUAUAUUUUGUUUAGAGUUGUAUUUUCUAUUAUUAUCAUCAUCUACUUAUUUCUAUAUUUACUUGCAUUUUUUGUUAUUGAGUUGUAAUCUUAUUUAAUUAAUCAUCUCGUCUUUGUAUUAUUUUGCUUACAAUUAUAAGAGUCUUACUAUUUUCCA